rnacentral:rRNA from 1 species
UACGUAGGGUGCAGGCGUUAAUCGGAAUUACUGGGCGUAAAGCGUGCGCAGGCGGUUUGUUAAGACAGAUGUGAAAUCCCCGGGCUUAACCUGGGAACUGCGUUUGUUACUGGCAAGCUCGAGUGUGGCAGAGGGGGGUAGAAUUCCAAGUGUAGCAGUGAAAUGCGUAGAUAUUUGGAGGAAUACCGAUGGCGAAGGCAGCCCCCUGGGCUAACACUGACGCUCAUGCACGAAAGCGUGGGGAGCAAACAGG